rnacentral:miRNA from 1 species
AAGGUGCUGCGGGAGGUUGUGC